AUAGUUCUUACAUCUUAAAGAUAAAAAAAGCUGUUAUCAUAUUUUAUGUAAAUGGAAAUGAAAAGAAACGGAAUAAAUUGUAAUUAAUUUCACUAAAGUAAUUUAAUUAUUUUAUUUAACUUAAUUUCAACACCAACUCGCUAUUGAUUCAUUUUACUCUUGAAUUAUAUUUCAUUCCUUUCUAUUUUAUUUUUCGAACAACAAUGUGGUUUCGGCUGAGAAAGAGUUAAUGGGCUUUUUUCCCUUUGCUUAGGAAACAUAGAUUAAACACAAAUAAAUAUGAGUUAAAAAAUUAGGUUAUAAGAAAAUUAAACUGUUGUGUUGAAAUUAGGAAAUAUUUAAUGAAUUAUAAAUAAUAUUCAUAAUUACAUUUGUUUUAAAACUCAAGGUGUAAAAUUAUUAAUAAAAAUACGCACAUAUGUGAUAUAAAAAUAUAAAAUAGUUUUAAAAUUCGUCUCACAAGAUUUUUAAUUCUACAGUGUAAAGAAAGCUGCAAGAAAAUAUAAUUAGCCUAAAAGCUGUCUUCUAUCAAACUCAAGAGGUCAAGAAAUUAACAGAUCAAGUACUAUUAAAUAGAAGAGUUUUAGAAAUAUCAAUAUGGGCAACACAGCUAAGCAAACGACAAAAAACAGAAAAAAAAACUUCUGUACUACAAAUAAUAAAGAAGACACAGGGCACUCCCGAAAUAAAAUAAUAAAAACAAUACAAAAUAAAAACAAAAGACUAAAAAAAACAUUAAAUAAGAAAAUAAAAUUUAAUGACAGUGGAGAGGAAGAAGUGGUCGAGAGAAGCAGCCAGACAAAUGAAAAUAGUCCGUUCACCCCUGAAGAAGAAGCUACUGUGAAAGAUGAAGAUAUUGAUAAAUUUUGUGACGAAUUAAAUGAAGAAGACAAUGAACAAUAUGAAAGCUGGGUUAAAUUAAUCGAAGAGAAAUUAGGGGCAAAUAAAAAAUAAAUAAAGUAAAUAUAAUUUAUUUAAUCUUGUUUGA